rnacentral:rRNA from 1 species
GACGAACGCUGGCGGCGUGCCUAAUACAUGCAAGUAGGACGCUGAAGGAGGAGCUUGCUUCUCUGGAUGAGUUGCGAACGGGUGAGUAACGCGUAGGUAACCUGCCUGGUAGCGGGGGAUAACUAUUGGAAACGAUAGCUAAUACCGCAUAAUAGUAGAUGUUGCAUGACAUUUGCUUAAAAGGUGCAAUUGCAUCACUACCAGAUGGACCUGCGUUGUAUUAGCUAGUUGGUGGGGUAACGGCUCACCAAGGCGACGAUACAUAGCCGACCUGAAAGGGUGAUCGGCCACACUGGGACUGGGGCACGGCCCAGAAUCCUACGGGAGGCAGCAGGAGGGAAUCUUCGGCAAUGGACGGAAGGCUGACCGAGCAACGCCGCGUGAGUGAAGAAGGGUUUCGGAUCGUAAAGCUCUGUUGUAAGAGAAGAACGAGUGUGAGAGUGGAAAGUUCACACUGUGACGGUAUCUUACCAGAAAGGUACGGCUAACUACGUG